rnacentral:rRNA from 1 species
CGGAGGAUCCAAGCGUUAUCCGGAAUCAUUGGGUUUAAAGGGUCCGUAGGCGGUUUAGUAAGUCAGUGGUGAAAGCCCAUCGCUCAACGGUGGAACGGCCAUUGAUACUGCUAGACUUGAAUUAUUAGGAAGUAACUAGAAUAUGUAGUGUAGCGGUGAAAUGCUUAGAGAUUACAUGGAAUACCAAUUGCGAAGGCAGGUUACUACUAAUGGAUUGACGCUGAUGGACGAGAGCGUGGGUAGCGAACAGGAUUAGAUACCCUGGUAGUCCACGCCGUAAACGAUGGAUACUAGCUGUUGGGAGCGAUCUCAGUGGCUAAGCGAAAGUGAUAAGUAUCCCACCUGGGGAGUACGUUCGCAAGAAUG